rnacentral:rRNA from 1 species
CGCUGGCGGCGUGCCUAAUACAUGCAAGUCGAACGCACUCUCGUUAGAUUGAAGAAGCUUGCUUCUGAUUGAUAACAUUUGAGUGAGUGGCGGACGGGUGAGUAACACGUGGGUAACCUGCCCUAAAGUGGGGGAUAACAUUUGGAAACAGAUGCUAAUACCGCAUAAAACCUAGCACCGCAUGGUGCAAGGUUGAAAGAUGGUUUCGGCUAUCACUUUAGGAUGGACCCGCGGUGCAUUAGUUAGUUGGUGAGGUAAAGGCUCACCAAGACCGUGAUGCAUAGCCGACCUGAGAGGGUAAUCGGCCACACUGGGACUGAGACACGGCCCAGACUCCUACGGGAGGCAGCAGUAGGGAAUCUUCCACAAUGGACGAAAGUCUGAUGGAGCAACGCCGCGUGAGUGAAGAAGGUUUUCGGAUCGUAAAACUCUGUUGUUGGAGAAGAACGUAUUUGAUAGUAACUGAUCAGGUAGUGACGGUAUCCAACCAGAAAGCCACGGCUAACUACGUGCCAGCAGCCGCGGUAAUACGUAGGUGGCAAGCGUUGUCCGGAUUUAUUGGGCGUAAAGCGAGCGCAGGCGGUUUCUUAAGUCUGAUGUGGAAGCCUUCGGCUCAACCGAAGAAGUGCAUCGGAAACUGGGAAACUUGAGUGCAGAAGAGGACAGUGGAACUCCAUGUGUAGCGGUGAAAUGCGUAGAUAUAUGGAAGAACACCAGUGGCGAAGGCGGCUGUCUGGUCUGUAACUGACGCUGAGGCUCGAAAGCAUGGGUAGCAAACAGGAUUAGAUACCCUGGUAGUCC